AAUGAACGCUGGCGGCAGGCCUAACACAUGCAAGUCGAGCGGAGCGGCGGACGGGUGAGUAAUGCCUAGGAAUCUGCCUGGUAGUGGGGGAUAACGUCCGGAAACGGGCGCUAAUACCGCAUACUAUCAGAUGAGCCUAGGUCGGAUUAGCUGGUUGGUGGGGUAAGGGCCUACCAAGGCGACGAGCCGUAACUGGGCUGACAGGAUGAUCAGUCAAACUGGAACUGAGAGACGGUCCAGACGCCGAGGGGAGGCAGCGGUGGGGAAUAGUGGGCAAUGGGCGAAAGCCUGAUCCAGCCAUGCCGCGUGUGUGAAGAAGGUCUUCGGAUUGUAAAGCACUUUAAGUUGGGAGGCGUUACCAACAGAAUAAGCACCGGCUAACUUCGUGCCAGCAGCCGCGGUAAUUC
rnacentral:rRNA from 1 species